UACAGAGGUCUCAAGCGUUGUUCGGAUUCAUUGGGCGUAAAGGGCGCGUAGGCGGUCAGCACAAGUCAGUUGUGAAAUCUCCGGGCUUAACUCGGAAAGGUCAACUGAUACUGUGCGACUAGAGUGCAGAAGGGGCAACUGGAAUUCUCGGUGUAGAGGUGAAAUUCGUAGAUAUCGAGAGGAACACCGGUGGCGAAGGCGGCCUUCUGGACAGUGACUGACGCUGGAGAACGCGAAAAGCGUGGGGAGCAAACAGG
rnacentral:rRNA from 1 species